rnacentral:lncRNA from 1 species
GUUGCCCUGAUCCUCAUACCAGAUGAGGUACGUAGGCAGGAGGUCUAACGAGAUCUCUCCGGGCACCCUUUUUCUUUUUGUGUGUGUUUGUUUGACAGUUAUUAGGCUCGAGUUCCCGACUCCCUAUUAACUUGUUUGUGUGUUAUCCUUCUUGUGUGUUAGGAGAUGGACAUAAGCCCAGCGAUUGGCAGUCCGUGUCCUAUUGGUGUUUGUUGUGUGGAGUCUGACGUAAGUCCAGCGAUUGGCAGUCGGUUUCCAGUCGGUUUCCAGUCGGAGUCCGAUGUAAGUCCAGCGAUUGGCAUUCAGUUUCCAUGUUUGCCUGUUUGUGUGUUUGUUUUGACGUCUCAGCGUCUGUGCGUGUGUUUUGUUUCGGCGUGUGUGAGCCGAACUACGGUAGCUCUGAUUCUCAUUCCAGAUGAGAUACGUAGGCAUAGG